AAGUCGUAACAAGGUUUCCGUAGGUGAACCUGCGGAAGGAUCAUUAACACGUAUCCACGUACCCACUAGUAAAAAACUUCGUGUCACCAAUUCUCUCAGCGACCGGAUCAUGAGACCCGCAAACGGUAGAGUCCUCUUUCAGGGGGACUGUCUCACCGGUAGAGGGAACCCGUCUUGAGGUUGGACAUUAAAUAAUCUCCCGAGCCUUUACGGGCUUGCAGUUUCUGGCUGCCGUUUUGUACUUGGUUGUCCACUUUUUCACCCUUUGUACUAUUUAUUUGACUGAAACUAUAAAGGGUUUUGACUCGGAAACGAGCAAGAUCCGAUUUUUGCGAAAUGUUUUACAACUCUUAGCAACGGAUAUCUUGGUUCUC
rnacentral:misc_RNA from 1 species